GGCAACUCCGGGCCAGGUGGCGCGGGAAUAGGGGGGGUGCGCGCGUUAGUCGGAGUUACUGGGCGUAAAGUGUGGGCAGGCGGCCGCGCAAGUCGAGUGUGAAAGCCCCGGGCUUAACUUGGGAAUUGCGCUCGAAACUACGUGGCUGGAGUGUGGCAGAGGAAGGUGGAAUUCCACGUGUAGCGGUGAAAUGCGUAGAGAUGUGGAGGAACACCAAUGGCGAAGGCAGCCUUCUGGGCCAACACUGACGCUCAUGCACGAAAGCGUGGGGAGCAAACAGGAUUAGAUACCCUGGUAGUC
rnacentral:rRNA from 1 species